UACGUAGGGGGCAAGCGUUGUCCGGAAUUAUUGGGCGUAAAGAGCGCGUAGGCGGUCCGAUAAGUCGGCUGUGAAAGUCGGGGGCUCAACCCUCGAAUGCCGGUGGAUACUGUUGGGCUAGAGUGCGGGAGAGGCGAGUGGAAUUCCUGGUGUAGCGGUGAAAUGCGCAGAUAUCAGGAGGAACACCAAUUGCGAAGGCAGCUCGCUGGAACGUAACUGACGCUGAGACGCGAAAGCGUGGGGAGCAAACAGG
rnacentral:rRNA from 1 species